rnacentral:rRNA from 1 species
UACGUAGGGGGCAAGCGUUGUCCGGAAUCAUUGGGCGUAAAGCGCGUGUAGGCGGCCCAGUAAGUCCGCUGUGAAAGCCCAGGGCUCAACCCUGGGAUGCCGGUGGAUACUGUUGGGCUCGAGUCCGGAAGAGGCGAGUGGAAUUCCUGGUGUAGCGGUGAAAUGCGCAGAUAUCAGGAGGAACAGCCGGUGGCGAAGGCGGGUCUCUGGGCCGAUACUGACGCUGGAGGAGCGAAAGCGUGGGGAGCGAACAGG